UAACAGAGAUGAUUAUUUAUCUUAAGAUAUAAAAAUGUCUACAGUGGGAAAGAGAAGCCAUGGGAAGCUCAUAUAUAUAGAACGAGCUCAAUCAGGAACUCCAGAGGAUGGCUGCCUCAACCUCCCCAAUCAGGAACUCCAGAGGAUGGCUGCCUCAGCUUCCCCAAUCAGGAGCUCCAGAGGAUGGCUGCCUCAACCUCCCCAAUCAGGAACUCCAGCCAACGGCCUCAACUUCACCAGCCAGUUUCUGCUGGUUGCGAUGCUCCGUGGACUAUCUGCUAAUGUUAAUUAAGCAUUCACACUGCAAUCAGGUGAAGGAGUGAGGUUGGCAUGUGGGUACACACACAGGUCUCACUGCAGAAUCUUUCCCAGGCUGUUGGAAAAUCCAAACUCGGGACAGGGAGCUGCUGGUCCUGAAGGACUUCUGUCAAUUCAAAACCCAUUUGUGGUUGGUGUUGAAAGAACAAGUCUGGAACUUAUCUCCUCUAGGAGGAAUGCAUGUCCGUGGGACCGGAGCCAUCAAGUGAGCGAUGACCUUGAGCUGUGCUUUGGAGGGGGUACAUUGGCGAGAAACACCCACCACCCAGCUGUUAGCAUCGCCAAGGUGGGCACAGGGUGAAUUCUGCAGCUGAAGGCUGCCCCUCUGCAGAGGAACUGGCUACUUUACCAGUAUUCGCUGAGUGUCUGACCUACUCAGGGCUCUUUAGGCCAUUAAUACAGUGAGCGUUUCAGGUAGAUGUGGUGUCUGUGGCCACAGCGUUUUUAAAGAGAUCUAGCAUGAGUUUGUGGUUGUUUUGUUUUUCCCCUGUUUAAAAACAGAGUAGAAGCCAGGCAUGGUAGUACACACAUGUAAACUCUGUAUUCAGGAAUCUGAGGUAAGAGGAAGGCCAUGAGUUUGAGAUCUGCCUGCAUCACAGAAUGAGACUACUGUGCCUCGAUCAAUCAAUCAAUCAAUCAAUCAAU